ACAGGACUUUUCACCUAUCUUUCCCUUUCUGCUUGCAACACUUAGUGUGAGGAGGUGAUACUUGGAGCUGUGGCAGCUAUCUUAAAACCAUGUGGCAAUAAGCAAUGAAGAGAAAAGGCUGAGAAGGAUAGAGAAGAGAGAUGGGAAGAAACUAGAUUCUUAAUGACACAGCUGAGUGAACAAACAAACCCUGAGACCACCGACCUCUCCUGCUAAGUAAAUAUUUAAUGAACUUAUAUCAAACAAUGGUUAGUUUUUUUCAUCUCUCAGUGGAAAUUAUUCCUUAUGACAUAGCCUUCCACCCAAAGACAGAUGACGAUAAACAACCGCAGUCGGGCUGAUGACAGAGCCUGGAAAUUAGUGGCCAGGUCUGAAUGACUCCCGCUGCAGCAAAGUGAGGUCUUAGGGAAGAAGCAGAAUUUUAACUGCAAUAUCUGGCGUCUCCUUGCUCCCUCUCAUCAGGCAACCACACACUCCAAAUGAGUUCCAUUCCUAAGGCUGACAACUGAGGGACUCAUCCUUUUGUUCCCAUUUGCCUCAAAUCACAGUCCUCCGGCACGCCUCCUGGACAGUAUUUAUGCAGGGCGGAAUAUAUGGCUCACAUUAGAACAAAUAGAACUUCCUAAAUUGGGCAAUUUGUGACUUUGCACCUCAGGUUUCACUCAUCCCUGAUUUGAAAUGCGCUAAAAGCACAUUAUUACUGUUUAAGAUGCAAACUACUGCCCUGAAAAAUAUUGCUUUUUACCUGAGGUGAAACAAGUUAUAAAUUAAUGGUUGGUCGAGGGUAAGGUGUGUGGGUAAAUAGAAAUUCCUUAGCACCAUGUGGAGGCCAUUCUGCUAAUAUGAUGAGGCUAUACUUGCGAGUGGAUUAAUUACUCUUUUCUUCUAACUUAAUUUAUUUCAUACUUUAAGAAACCAAAAUGUCCAGUAGCCACUAUGCUUGUGACAAAGAAACACAAUAAAAGCAAUUUCUCCAGUACAAAAAAUAAAGCGUUCCCGGUAAUGCAUUUUUGAAUCCAGCAUACCUUCGCCUAAUGAGGUUUCAGCAUGCUAUAAAUAACACUAAUGAGACUUUGUCUUGCCCAUGUAAUAUAUUUCCUUGAUAUAGCCUUAGAUUCUCCGUGUUGCGUGGAAAACUAACAGCCUCAGAAAGAAAUGUCGUCCAAUAGCACAUUAAACCAAAAGCACAAUUAAAUAUAAAUGAAUUCAGUAAUUUAAUUGCACAAUUGUCGCUUUAAAAAAUUCAGAAGAAAAGUAAUGAUGUCAUUUUUUUAAAUCGGUAAAUAAUAAAAGUGCUUGUGGGGAUGGUGCAAUAUUUAAAUAAACAUUUUUCUGGUAAGGGUAGUAGCAAAGGCAGUUGCACAUGUUUAGGAAAAUCCUGUGGCUUGCAAAAAAAAAAAUUGAGCAUCUUGGCAUACAUCAUUCUGCACGUGUGAUGUGGAGAGACAAACGUCUUGGUUUCAAUCUUUAU
rnacentral:lncRNA from 1 species